rnacentral:rRNA from 1 species
GAUGAACGCUGGCGGCGUGCUUAACACAUGCAAGUCGAACGAUGAAGCCCAGCUUGCUGGGUGGAUUAGUGGCGAACGGGUGAGUAACACGUGAGUAACCUGCCCUUAACUCUGGGAUAAGCCUGGGAAACUGGGUCCAAUACCGGAUAGGAGCGUCCACCGCAUGGUGGGUGUUGGAAAGAUUUAUCGGUUUUGGAUGGACUCGCGGCCUAUCAGCUUGUUGGUGAGGUAAUGGCUCACCAAGGCGACGACGGGUAGCCGGCCUGAGAGGGUGACCGGCCACACUGGGACUGAGACACGGCCCAGACUCCUACGGGAGGCAGCAGUGGGGAAUAUUGCACAAUGGGCGCAAGCCUGAUGCAGCGACGCCGCGUGAGGGAUGACGGCCUUCGGGUUGUAAACCUCUUUCAGUAGGGAAGAAGCGAAAGUGACGGUACCUGCAGAAGAAGCACCGGCUAACUACGUG